rnacentral:misc_RNA from 1 species
UUUCCNUAGGUGAACCUGCGGAAGGAUCAUUACAUUCAGUAGCGCAGCUACUUGUUUACACCCUUGUUUUUUUGCGUACCUAUCGUUUCCUCGGCGGGCUUGCCUGCCGGUUGGACAACAUUUAAACCUUUUUAAAUCUUCAAUCAGCGUCUGAAUAAUAUACAAUAAUUACAACUUUCAACAACGGAUCUCUUGGUUCUGGCAUCGAUGAAGAANGCAGC